rnacentral:lncRNA from 1 species
UCCCGAACAUUAGAGCAAUACCAGCUAGUGGAUCUAUGAAGCCGACUUACAUCCGUUUCCUAACCGGAAUCAAAGCCUAUACCAAAAUAUUCUCAGUUAAGAAUCGAUAAUAGAUAGAUAGAUCUACAUGUGAAUGAUAUCUGCAAAAAAAAAAAAUACUUAAACAAUUCUCUUGUGGAUUUGUUUCAGAGAGUUGCAUUGGGAGCAAGGAAGAAUAGAUACGUGACUGAAGAGUAGAUAUCGCAGUAGAUCAUCUCUAUAUUUCUUUGUUGACACUGAUCAUGUAUCAUCAACACUAAUUAACAAAAUGUAAAUAAAUACCUCUACAUUUUGUUAUUCACCCAAGUCAACCAAGUUUUUUAAUAAUAAAAAUAAAAAAUCACAACUUUCGAGUAGAACAUAGGCUUUCGAGAAAAACUUCAUGUUAAAAUAUAAAAAUAAAAAAUCACAACUUUCAAGAAAAACUUUCAAGUUUUAAUAAUAAAAGAAAAACACAAGUUUUAAUUUACAAACGGUAACUUUCCUUUUUUCAAAACAUUUAAAAAAAAAGAAAAACACAAGUUUUAAUUUACAAAACGGUAACUUUCCUUUUUCAAGAAAACGGUAACAUUUGCAUCUCUAUAUAAACGUUGGUUUGCAUAGAGAGAAGAACCUUGUUUUCUUUCACUCUGCAGAUUCUUUGCCCCCCCUCCUUCGUCCAUGACCAUAUCUCUUUCUUUCUUCUAUGUUUUGUUCGUCCGUGUUGAUGAUCUGGUUUUAGCUUCACAAGCAUGGUGUACGCUCUUGUGUUUCUUGAGCCAUCCAUGCUCCUCUCGAUAUCUAUGUUUGUGCUGGUGAAGCUCUUCGAUCAUUCAUUGGCUCUCUCUCUCCUCCCCCCCCAACCUCAUCUUCAGGUAUACUUUUUUGGGAUCUCCAAAAAUACUUAAAAACUAAUUUUCAUCUGUUAAAAUCAUACUUAAACUAG